rnacentral:lncRNA from 1 species
AAGAAAUCUAUUUCUUUGUUCUCGGGAAUAGAAAUGGAAAAAACUAUUUCUAAACAUAAAUUGGUCCUAGGAAUCGAAAAGUUACUAAAGGCACCUGUUGAAGUUAACACAAAAUGUGACAAGGAAAUUCUCACCAACAAAGGAAUCCACCAUAGGAUAGAGGACAGUAAUUUUCACGAAAAAAAGUCUUUUAAUUGAGAAAUCUGCUCAAAAUAACGACAGGAAUAGUAAUCCAAGAAAUGAUUAGAGCAUGAACCCUACUUAUUAAAAUCAGAAAAAAACAGAAUCAAGAGAAGAUUAAGAUAUUUGAAUUGUCCCUUAUUCCAUUCUUUUCCAAACUCACCAUGUAAGGCAAAG